CUCCUCGAUGGUCUCGGUCCGUGGCACCGACAGGGAAAAGCGGCGCUUGAAGUUCUUCAUCUUGUUCAUCGUUGGCGGGACCAGGUGCUGAGUCAGAGUGAGGAGAGCAGCCAGCCUGGAAGGGGUCCUUCCCCUGGUCCUGCAGGCUGCUCCCCAAUGCAGCUAAGAGUCCGGAACGGAUGGAGGGCAGUGCCGAGGAAUGUGCAUUUUUUCGUAAAGUACCCCCAGUGAUCUGGAAAUGGAACCGUCGUUGGGAGUCAUCUGAGGCUCAGCUUCUGCUCAAAGGUAAUGACGUGCCAGAAAAGAGGCCCCGUAUAAGGCUCCCCAGACAUCCCUCACAGACUUCCCUGCAGCCUGUGAAAUGCUCUGAGACCCUGGGACAGAGGGCGCACGAAGCAGGGAGCAUGGUCCCCUAUCAGCAGGCCUGACCACUGGACCAAGAGGGACAGGCCAGGCAGGCUGGGGCCCCCACUUAGGCUGACGCAACUCGCCAGACCCUGGCCUUCUGGCAGAUGGUUCUCAUCCCUGGGUGUCCAGGCAGUGCACACAUGGCCUGCUGCCCCCCACCGCUGGACAACUUCUGCCAGGCCUCGGACCUGACACCUGCCCUGGGGCUGGGACGUCAGGGAGGCCCCGCCUGGGAGAACAUGGAGCACAGAGAGAGGCUGGCUGAGCAUCCACGGAAGAGCAGCAGGGAGGCUCCACAUCUCAGAAGCCGGGCUGCACAUGGUGCGGAGGGCAGGUCGGCCUCACUCCUUAGCUUCAGGGAGCAAGGCUUGGACAUCCCUCUCAGCAAACCCUUACGCUCCUUGGGGCACUGGCUGCCCACUACACCUACCAGGUAGUGUAAUAAAAGCCCUGAGUGAGAAAGAAGCCCUCUGCCCACUUUCUGAAUAAAGUAGCCUGCACCCAAGGCCCCUCAAGAUCCGGCUGCCCUUUCUCCCUGGCUUUCUCUCCCCACUUUCCCCAAGUCCAGCUCUGCUCCAGCCACACCCCUGCUUGCAGUCAGGUCUCGAGUCUUCUGCGGUUUCCCUGACCCUGCAGGGCCUCUGGGGCCCCUCUGAUGGGCACACUCCAUGCACAGGGUGGUCUCCCAGGACCACAGCGAGGACUUCUCAGGUGCCUCCCUCACUAGGGGCACUUUGGGCCUGUGCCCAGGGCUGGUGACAUGCAGUAGAUCUGGCUGUUUCACAAGGACAUGGUGGGCACCUACUGUGUGCCAGGCACAUGUCAGAUGCUUCUCCAAAGCCCUCUUUUUGGGUUGUUUUAUGAUCUCAGUCUCCAUGGACCCAGGGCAGGAGCUGAAGGACAGAACAUCCAACUGCCCCCUUUCUGAAGCCCGGAGAGUGUGACCCUCAGUCUCAACGGCUGACCAGCCAGGAGCCUUAUAAUGCCCUCUGCUAUCCACUCCCUGUCCCCACCUUGGUCACUUAGCCACUUUGAGCCUUUGGGUGGGUUUCAAAAGAACCACAGGCCACAGCCGACUGACUCUGUGGACGUCAUGGGCUGAGGCUUCAGGGGCACUUCCUCCUCCCGGCGCGGACCCUGCCUGCAGGGAGUCUGCAGAUACCAUCUCUUCCUUCACCCUCUCAGAGACUCUGCCCUGCACAGUUCCAGGCUUCCGUUUCCCUAGCUUGGACAAACCUCACGGGAAGCCUGAGGAACCCCGUGGCUGCCUGGAGUCCCCACUCUGGCCUUGCUGCAGCCUGGAUGAGAGAGGCUCUGAGCCUGGGGCCUUCUGGGUGGUCAGAAGCCAGCAGGACUGAUAGGCCGCAGUCGCCCUGCCAAGGGACAGAGGCUUCCCGCAGCCUCUGUUUGGACGGGAAGGCCUUCUGGGAGCAAGUGGGCCUAACCUACGGAAGCCCAGUCGGGAGGCAAAGCAUCUGGGGCUUGGGAUCGAUCACCUCUGCUCUGGACAGAAAGUGUCCUUCCUGACACAAGUGCCCCACAGUGAAGGUCACAUGCUGUCCAGGCCUUCUUUCCAAACUCUCGGCAAUUUGGAGUCAUGGGAGAAAUCCCAGCUCCCCUGCUCACUCCUGCUCCGGGAAGACAACCCGCACCCGUUUUCUUGUCUGCCAAAUGGGAUAAUGACUAACCUCUAUCCAGUUGUCACCAGGCCUGGAGACUUAACUUUCCCACUCAUCUUCUGGUGAUGUCAUUCCCUGUUUAAACCCCUUCCGUAUCACAUUGUCCUUAGGUAAAAGCCCGGCAAACUGGACCACAUGUGUCUGGGUCCCCGUGUCCUUCCUGCGUCUCAGCUUUCCCCGGCCUGCAGGGUCCACUUGAAGGGAACAUACUUGGCACUCCUGGACUUAAGCACACUCAGGGCCCCAGCCUUGCACACGCCGUUCAUCUGGCCUGGCAUGCCCUUCCUCAUUUUUCCCUUGGAAAAACCACCUCCCAACUCGUGUCCCUUCCCCCAGGAAACCACACAUGACCACCUCCUUCCUUUAGGUAAACUGAGAUGCUUCCUCCUCGUCGCUUCCAGACCAGCCUGUGUCCAUUAUUAACUAGGUUGUGACGUCCUUCAGGACAAGAGCGGGGUCUCACUCAGCUCUGGUUUCCAGGACCUUACAGAGUGUAGGAAAGCGCCCAGGUGCUCGGCAUUUGUGGAAUGAAUAAGCAAAUGGCUGAGUGAGAUCAUCGAGCCGCCUUAUCACGAUGACUUGUGUAAGCCUCUUUCCUCUACAGGUGUAUGAACACUAGGCUCACUGAGGACAAAGACCUUUGUUCACCUUGCAUCUCAAGAUCUCUGCAGGCAGUCAGGGUUGCUUGCCUUCCUUCUGCUUUUGGCUGGGCCAGGGACUUGUUUCAACUCCAUCUUCUACUAUCAGGCCAGCUCCACCCCUGGUGGGCCUUGAGCACAACCGGGGUGGGCCUGGCCCUGCCCUCUCUCUGGGCAUACGAGAGCCAGCCGCAGGGGGCCAGCCAGCCAGCCCUAGCCUCCCCAGACAGCGGUCCCCCUUGGUCCUCCUGGCCCUCAGUGAGUGGGCCAGGGGCUCUGUGCCAGUGAAGCGCUCACAUUUUCGGGGCUCAAGCCAGGCUCAACCUCUUUCCUAGACACCUUCCAUGAUGUCCCACCCAGCCUGACACCCCUCUGGCCCCCAUCAGGUGGGGGCCCCUCCUCUGUGUUCGCACAGCAUUCUAGACACCCCCAGGUAGGGUGCUUGGCUCCCUGCAGAGUAACUUCACCUAUUUCCCUACUUUGCCUGUGAGCUUAUUAGUGACGAGGUCUGACUCAUCAUUACACCCCCGAUGCCUGACACGGGGCCUGGCAUGGAGCGAACCAACAAUGAUCAGCAAGCGACUAUAGAAAAGCUCUCAAUUCCUAGUUCCAGGAGCUGUUUGGAGGCAGGAGGACUGCCAGGAGACUGUCCGUUGCCCAGCGGACUUGACACCUCAGCUGUAAGCUAACCCUCCUUCUCCAGCCGGCGCUUGGCCCUAAAGGCAGUGGCAGGGGCAGAGGGGCAGAGGGGCAUAGGGGCAGCCUCCUCCCCAGUGGCAGCCCUCUGAGGUCUGCAGAGGUCUCUGCACUGGCAGGUGAGGGGCGGAUGGGGAUUAAAAUCCUAAUGAGAGGUUCCAACCGAACACCCAUGUUGGGAACUCCAGAGCUUGAGGGAAGGGGGUGUUGGUGGGGACCAGGGUACCUCCUCAUGGGCUCCCAUCACUCAGGGGCAGAUUCCUGGAGCCUCAGAGGUCAUGGGCACCUCGGCCUCAGCCCCUCCAGAUGACCCUGCUGAGCCCGAUGCCCCACUUCAGCCCCUCUGUGGGGGCCCCGCGUCAGCCCUGCUGAUACUCCACUGCUCUCCUUGGCUUUCUAAGGCUCAAGGAAUGGAGGCACGUAUAGCAUCUUCUGGUAUUUUCUUUUUGACCUUUUUUGGAGACCCGCUAAGUUUGGCCUGCAGUCUUUGCGGGGAGGCUCUGGAUCUCCAAAUAAUAAGAUGGGACAAGGCGUCUUUCCUUUAGCUCUGGUCUUGGCCGUGCAGAACAUCCCAGAUGGAGGCUGCAGCAAGGGUGCAGGCCAGACCUCACCGACCUCGUCCUGCUUCAGACAAGGCCUGCCUCCUCCCCUCCCGGGCAGAGGAAACUCUCCCUUUCCCUCUAGCAGCCCCUGUUAAAGACCCGCAAAGCAGGUUCCUCGGCAACCUUGCCCAGUGUUCUCCCAAUUCCAAAGUAUGGGUACUUUCUUGGUCUUCCUCAAAUCCAAACAAAGCAGCUCACAUCUGUCUCCACUCCAUCUGUUUACAUAGAUGCUGAUGCCCACCGUCUUCCCCACAGUAAAAAGGAGGAGAAAUAAAGGGCACCAGGGUCAUCCACCUCUAGCUUUCCCUUGUCCAGAUGUCAAAAGCCCAGCCUCUUGAUGGUCUGACAUGGGGUCUUUGUUCACGCCUCUCUGGUUUUCUUGCCAUGCCCAACUUUAGCAACAGACUGCAGGCCCUUCAAAGCUGGCUUCCCUGGGGACCGCUCAGUCUCAUGAGCAGGGAGGGCCGGAAGGGAGAGUUUCCCGGCAUCUCUAGGCCAUAUUCCUAUUUAUAUCCACUCCCAGCACCCCCCUCCCACCAGCCUGACCCAACCACUCCGUGCCCACAUCCCAACAGGACCCUCUGGUCAGUACUCUCCAACCUUUAGGGGAAGGCGGCCUUGUCACACUCCACAGGUUCCCCUGCCCCAGGUUGGGCCCAGGAGGCCACCUUGGCCUGCACCACCUCCCCGCCUUCCCUGUUUCUGGGAACCUCUGAACGUCUUGCAGUGGUUCAACUGUUGCCUAAACGCCCCCAUCAGCGGCUCCUGCUCCCCAGAGCUGAGCCUCCUCGACGGCACUGGGUUUCUUGCAGUCACUCACUCAUUUCACAAGUACCUACUCGGUGCCGGGCACUGUCCUAGGGUUCAAGCCUCAUCUUACCCUCCUCCUUGGCCUCCUAGUUUUCCCUGCUUCUUUCUCCCUCCAAGUCUGGGGGACUCACUUCCCCUACCUGUCCCUGAACGUCAGCACUCCCAGAGUCCCCUCUGGCCCUCUGCUCUUCCCCUCCGCACGCUCUGCCCUGGUGGAGACCACCACCCACGUGCUGACGGCUCCCAGGCCCACGGCUCUGCCUGCCAGACGCCUCUAUCUGGAUGCCUUCCAGGGUCUGAGGGCAGAGAUAUCAGAAUAACCCCCACCGGCCCUAGGACAGUCCUGGAGAUAGCAAAUAGGUUGAGAUUUGUUUUUAAAUGAAAAGCGUAGAUGUGUAAAAACUGUGUGUGUGCUAGGUAUACAUACACACAUGUCAUAUGUACACAUAUAAAUACAAACACUGUAUAUAACCCAGAAAGAUUUAAGUUAAAAUGCUAACAGUAGUUAUCUCAGGUGGCAGAAUUAUGGGCGAUCUUAAUAUCUUCUUUCUUAUUUGCCUCUUCUAAUAUUUCUAUAAUAAACAUUCACUGCUUAUGUUAAAAGAAGUUAACACUUCUUUUUACAUGAAAAGAAAGUAUUUUUAGAUUGAGAUUCCAGAACUGUUUAGUGCAAGCCUUGGAAGAACUAUAAUUAUCUUGAGCGGGGGUCGGCAAAUGGUUUCUGUAAACGGCCAGCCAGCCAGUAUGUUAGGCAUCGCGGAUCACACAGCCUGUUGCAAUCAGACAAUUCUACCCUUGUACAAAGUACCCAUAGAUAAGAUGUAAACAAAUGAGUGUGGCCAUGUUCCACUAAACCUUUAUUCAUGGGCAUUAAAAUUUGAAUUUUAUAUUUUCAAGGGUCAUAAAAUGUUAGUUUCUCCUUUUGAAUUUUUCCCAACCACUUAAAACUGUAGAUGCUCACAGGCCAUAAGACAGGCUGGAUUUGGCCAAGAGCCUUAUCCAUCACCAUUCAGGGCUUGAAUGGUGUUUGGAUCUGGCACCUGCUCCUCUGGGAGGUGCUUUUUCUCCUCCUGCCUGAUGGGGGAAGCCCUCCAGGGUUUGCUUGUCCCUCUGAGCCAUGGCAGGGCCAGGCUAACUGGGAGAAGCUGUGCUCCAGAGUUUGGAGGAAAAGAAGGUGAGUCCCUCCUGGGGUCUCAGAGCACAGCUCACAGCGUCAGCAGGACUGACAGAAGCUGGAACCACAAACCAGCAGACUUGGACAGGGCUUUAGAGAACUCUUGGUCCGUUUCUCAUUUUUCAGGGUAAGACAUGCAGACAGGGAAUGACCACCGACGGCCGGUAAGGUUGGUGGGGCAGAGCUGAGACUACACCUGAGGGCUUGCUGACUUUGAGUUCAGUGGCCUUUCUGCUCCCCUGGCAAGGGACUGCAAGGAUGUGCCCAGAAAUGGCAUUCCCUCCACAGGGCAACACUACCCUGGCAAUCAGCAGCCCAGUCAAGGGCCGCCUUGCACAGGGAAGAAACCGUCAGGCCUGGCAUCAGCCCGGAAUGUGGCACCCAGCCCAGCUAUGGUGGAGCGGUAGGGGGGUGCUGACAGUUGGGCUCCAUGCCAGGAACAGGGAGGGCUCUGGGACCCCUCUCCUGGUCUCAUCCCAGGCGGUGAUGGCAGAGGUGGUCUGGAGGCCCAGCAUGGCCAUCGUGAGCGAAGCCCUCCAGCCUGGGACCUUCACCUGCUGCUUCUGGGCACUGGGUACUGACAGGACAUGGGGAAGGACGGCCACAGCCCUCCCUGCACCUGGCCACCCAGCAAGGAUCUCUUUGGCUGGGUACCUGGGGCCAGACAAGAGAAGCAGCCCUGGUUCUGAGGG